AUCAAGAUCAAGGUAUGAAGAAUAACUCUCAUAUUUAGUUUUGAUACAAUUUCUCCAAUGAUAAUAUCACCACGUUUUUUUGUUUUUUUCAUUUUUAUGAUUUCAUCUCUUAUCUUUCCAACAACUGCAAAGAAAGACAUAGAAUGCAUACAAAGUUGAAACAUAAUGAUAUGUUUUGAAGAAAGAAAACGGAAAACAAAACACAUACCAAUAAAAUUGAAGAACUUGAUUCUGGUAACAUAUUUGAGUGAUUAUACAACAGGUAUACCAUACAAUACAACAUUUAUAAAAUUUCUAUAACAUGAUUUAAUUCAGUUUCAUAUAUAUAUAUAUAUAUAUAUAUAUAUAUAGAAAAAGAUAAAUUUAGAAAAUGAUGAGUAAAAAUUAAAUAGAUCUACAAAAUAAAAAGAAGAAAACAUAGAGUGAUACAGUAUAGUUGAUGCAAUGAACUGUUUAGAGUACGAUAGUACUACCACGUAGAGAGUUGGAGUACAAAAUAAGAAAUAUCAUUAUUUAUGUUUAAAUUUAAAUUAGAAUAAUAUAGAAUUUAAAACCAAAAUCAUAAAAAUUUAUUUAUGCAAAAAUUUAUGAAAAUAUUACUGUUAUUAUAUUUAAUCAAGGAAAACGCAGAAGAAUAAUAGAUAAAAUAAUUAUUCUAAAAUAAAGCGAUCCAGAGAGAAGAAAAUAAAAGAUGAGCAAAAAGUAAAUAAAUUUAAAUUAAAAAGGAUCAAUUAAUAUAAAAUAAGAGGAACAAGAAAAUAAACAGAUCCCGAGAGAAAAGUCAUUAACAAGAAAAUAGAUUUUAUUUCAAAAACUUUUGUAAGAUCUAAAAUCUAAAAGAAAAAAAUCAGGCAUGUAACAAAUCAAGAAAA